rnacentral:rRNA from 1 species
GCACAAGCGGUGGAUGAUGUGGAUUAAUUCGAUGCAACGCGAAAACCUUACCUACCCUUGACCUGUCCGGAAUCCCGAAGAGAUUUGGGAGUGCUCGCAAGAGAACCGGAACACAGGUGCUGCAUGGCUGUCGUCAGCUCGUGUCGUGAGAUGUUGGGUUAAGUCCCGCAACGAGCGCAACCCUUGUCAUUAGUUGCCAUCAUUUGGUUGGGCACUCUAAUGAGACUGCCGGUGACAAACCGGAGGAGGGUGGGGAUGACGUCAAGUCCUCAUGGCCCUUAUGGGUAGGGCUUCACACGUCAUACAAUGGUCGGUACAGAGGGUUGCCAACCCGCGAGGGGGAGCUAAUCCCACAAAGCCGAUCGUAGUCCGGAUCGCAGUCUGCAACUCGACUGCGUGAAGUCGGAAUCGCUAGUAAUCGUGGAUCAGCAUGUCACGGUGAAUACGUUCCCGGGUCUU